ensembl:lncRNA
GCACCAGGCUGUCGGAGGAGGUCAGAGCCUCAAGCCGGCCCCGGCUUGGAGGGCCUGUCUCAGAAGCCAGACCAUGCUGUUGAACCGGAUUAGUCAUUUUGCUGCCUGUAAGCAUACAGCCACCUAUAAACUGGAACUUCCUAAUGGCAGCCUGUCACUUCCACCGAGGCCCACCAGUUGAAUGCCUUCUGACCUCGUACUCCACAUCCUCAUCAAAGCUGAGGCGGGACCGCUGGUAUUUCCCGUGCGUGUUUAAGGGGCGCCGAGCUCCCUGGACUCUGGGGCAGCGAGGGGACCAAGAAGACUCCACAGGCCUUCCUGAGAGACCCCACAGGCGAGCUGAGAGGAAACACAGGGUGCGUGAAAGUUAGUUUUCCUAAGAAAAGCAAGAACAUUCCCCUCCCUGACCUCACCCCAGCCGUCCCUGCUGAGAACACAUGGGAAGUUCGGGGGAAUUUUCUCAAAUCCUGCUUGUAAGACAAAAACUUAUCAGGAAUCCAUGCUUCAUGAUAUCCUUCCUGGGCAGGACAGGGGUGGCUGGCGUUAACCUCCCAGCUCACUGGCUGCCCCUCAAACCUCUUCUGGCAGCCAGGAGUCUGGCCAGCACCCCCCUCCUGCCUUCCACGGAGCCACUGCCACAAAGCCAUGCAGAGGUCCCUCCCCCACCAGGCCCUGCUCCUCAGAUGGAACAUGGGAGCAGGUGGAAUGGGAGCAGCAGGCAGGGCUGGAGGAGGAGCUAGUGCCUCCCCACCUCAGCUUGCUGUCACCGCAGCCUCCCAGGACUUGCUGCUGUGGAAUAAUUAGUGCUGCUGGCACUAAUGGCCCUGACUUCUCACUCUCCCUGAAUCCCUGCCCGG